AGUGAACGCUGGCGGUAGGCCUAACACAUGCAAGUCGAACGGCAGCACAGUAAGAGCUUGCUCUUGCGGGUGGCGAGUGGCGGACGGGUGAGGAAUACAUCGGAAUCUACUUUUUCGGGGAGGAUAACGUAGGGAAAGUUACUCUAAUACCGCAUACGACCUACGGGUGAAAGCAGGGGAUCUUCUGACGUUGCGGGAUAGAAUGGGCGGAUGUCGGAUUGGUUGGUUGGCGGGGUAAAGGCCCACCGAGGCGAUGAACGGUAGCCGGCCUGAGAGGGGGACCGGCCACACUGGGCCUGAGACACGGCCCAGACUCCUACGGGAGGCAGCAGUGGGGAAUAUUGCACAGUGGGCGAACGCCUGAUGCAGCGACGCCGCGUGAGGGAUGACGGCCUUCGGGUUGUAAACCUCUUUCAGCAGGGAAGAAGCGAAAGUGACGGUACCUGCAGAAGAAGCGCCGGCUAACUACGUG
rnacentral:rRNA from 1 species